CCUACGGGUGGCAGCAGUGGGGAAUCUUUCACAAUGGGGGAAACCCUGAUGCAGCAACGCCGCGUGAGGGAAGACGGUUUUCGGAUUUUAAACCUCUGUUCUUAGGGAAGAAUAAUGACGGUAGCUAAGCAGCAAACCACGGCUAACUACGCGCCAGCAGCCGCGGUAAUACGUAGGUGGGAACCGUUGUCCGGAAUUACUGGGUGUAAAGGGAGCGUAGGCGGGAAGGUAAGUCAGCUGUGAAAACUACGGGCUUAACUUGUAGACUGCAGUUGAAACUGGUUGUCUAGAGUGAAGGAGAGGUAGGCGGAAUUCCGGGUGUAGCAGUGAAAUGCGUAGAUAUUGGGAGGAACACCGGUGGCGAAGGCGGGUAACUGGACUUUAACUGACGCUGAGGCUCGAAAGUGUGGGGAGCAAACAGGAUUAGAUACCCUUGUAGUC
rnacentral:rRNA from 1 species